GACGAACGCUGGCGGCGUGCCUAAUACAUGCAAGUCGAGCGAGUCUGCCUUGAAGAUCGGAGUGCUUGCACUCUGUGAAACAAGAUACAGGCUAGCGGCGGACGGGUGAGCAACACGUGGGUAACCUGCCCAAGAGAUCGGGAUAACACCUGGAAACAGAUGCUAAUACCGGAUAACAACAGAUGAUGCCUAUCAACUGUUUAAAAGAUGGUUCUGCUAUCACUCUUGGAUGGACCUGCGGUGCAUUAGCUAGUUGGUAGGGUAACGGCCUACCAAGGCGAUGAUGCAUAGCCGAGUUGAGAGACUGAUCGGCCACAUUGGGACUGAGACACGGCCCAAACUCCUACGGGAGGCAGCAGUAGGGAAUCUUCCACAAUGGACGCAAGUCUGAUGGAGCAACGCCGCGUGAGUGAAGAAGGGUUUCGGCUCGUAAAGCUCUGUUGUUGGUGAAGAAGGACAGGGGUAGUAACUGACCUUUGUUUGACGGUAAUCAAUUAGAAAGUCACGGCUAACUACGUGCCAGCAGCCGCGGUAAUACGUAGGUGGCAAGCGUUGUCCGGAUUUAUUGGGCGUAAAGCGAGUGCAGGCGGCUCGAUAAGUCUGAUGUGAAAGCCUUCGGCUCAACCGGAGAAUUGCAUCAGAAACUGUCGAGCUUGAGUACAGAAGAGGAGAGUGGAACUCCACGUGUAGCGGUGAAAUGCGUAGAUAUAUGGAAGAACACCGGUGGCGAAGGCGGCUCUCUGGUCUGUUACUGACGCUGAGGCUCGAAAGCAUGGGUAGCGAACAGG
rnacentral:rRNA from 1 species